CCGAAUGGGGAAACCCAGUGUGAUUCGUCACACUAUCAUUAACUGAAUCCAUAGGUUAAUGAGGCGAACCGGGGGAACUGAAACAUCUAAGUACCCCGAGGAAAAGAAAUCAACCGAGAUUCCCCCAGUAGCGGCGAGCGAACGGGGAGGAGCCCAGAGCCUGAAUCAGCAUGUGUGUUAGUGGAAGCGUCUGGAAAGGCGCGCGAUACAGGGUGACAGCCCCGUACACAAAAGCGCAUGUGCUGUGAGCUCGAUGAGUAGGGCGGGACACGUGGUAUCCUGUCUGAAUAUGGGGGGACCAUCCUCCAAGGCUAAAUACUCCUGACUGACCGAUAGUGAACCAGUACCGUGAGGGAAAGGCGAAAAGAACCCCGGCGAGGGGAGUGAAAAAGAACCUGAAACCGUGUACGUACAAGCAGUGGGAGCACCCUUCGGGGUGUGACUGCGUACCUUUUGUAU
rnacentral:rRNA from 1 species